rnacentral:rRNA from 1 species
ACUCCUACGGGAGGCAGCAGUGGGGAAUAUUGCACAAUGGGGAAACCCUGAUGCAGCCAUGCCGCGUGUGUGAAGAAGGCCUUCGGUUGUAAAGCACUUCAGUAGGGAGGAAGGUAGUGUAGUUAACACCUGCACUAUUUGACGUUACCUACAGAAGAAGCACCGGCUAACUCCGUGCCAGCAGCCGCGGUAAUACGGAGGGGUGCGAGCGUUAAUCGGAAUUACUGGGCGUAAAGCGCAUGCAGGCGGCCUGUUAAGUCAGAUGUGAAAGCCCGGGGGCUUAACCUCGGAAUUGCAUUUGAAACUGGCAGGCUAGAGUCUUGUAGAGGGGGUAGAAUUUCAGGUGUAGCGGUGAAAUGCGUAGAGAUCUGAAGGAAUACCAGU